GGAUUAGUAAAUGGGAGAAGCUGACAUACAAGCAGAAACUGAAGUAAAUCGACAGAUACAAAAACGUUAUGGGUUAAUAGAUCUCAAAACACCAAUAGCUCUACCUGGUCGAGUUCAGGUUAAGCGUUUCGACCAUUCUCUUCUGCGAACUUGAAAUUCUUCAAAGCAUGAGUUACCUGUGAUGUGCCUAAUGAGAGAUUUAACGAUGUGAUUAACAUGCUGAGGAUGAGUUUAGAUUAGCGGCGGUACCAAGAGCUUCGCGCCAUGGAUAUAAGUUGUGGCGUUCUCUUUGUGGAGUAGAGCUACUAAGCUUUUAGCCUUAAUAUGCUAAUCAUUUUUUGAACUUCCAUUUUGUAUGUGUAGUUUGAUUUUCUUUUGAAAGUGUGAUUAAAUGUCAGCUUCAAGAUUUAUCCCCUCUCAUCGUGUUCUUUUUUUUCCCACAUAAUUAGUCUCAUACCUUUCUAAUGCCAAAGAUUAAAUAGAUUAACAAAGUUUAAUGGAUCUCUCACCAUUGUUCCUCUUUCUCUUUGUUUCCGGUGAAAAACAUGUAUCACUUGAAUAUCGAUUUUGAGAACAAGAUUUUAGAUUUUAUACAAUAAUUGAAUUUAAAAAGGCCUUAAAAUGAUUAAAUUUCUAUGUAUUUUAUAAUCAGAGAUAACUCAUGUUGAUUUGUCUCGACUAUACAAAGCGGCUGGGCAUUUGUGUUGCCGCCAAGAGGAAACAACACAAUCACGAGUCCAUAUUCUGAUGAAUGAUUGUGCUGCUUUCAACUAAGCUAAAUUGUUAAUCAUUUUAUUACUAAUAAUGAAGUUCUUAUCAUCUUAUGUACAGUGUUAGAGAAUCUCCAUGUAUUCUUAAAAUCUAUAUGGAUCAUAAUUAUAAGACUACACAAAUGCUCGGCCGUUUUGUAUAUAGCCGAAACAAAUCAACAUAUGAGUUAUCUGAUUAUAAAAUACACAGAAAUUUAACCAUUUCGAGGCUAACACAAGUACUCUCUAUUUAUCUCACAUGUUUGUUCAGCAUCCCAUAUAUUUUUGGGUGGAAAAAAGAUGACAAAUUUUGAGUUUUAAUACUUGCAAAUUUGAUAUAUGAUUUAUAUUUUUAUAUCAUAGGCAUGAUAUAUGUGGAUUAUAUAUUAAAAACAAAUAUAUUAUAAACUGAAACAAACAUGUGUUAUAUAACAUCAUUUGUUGUUACAUAGUAUAUACUAAUUAUUAUUUAUGACAUUAUUGAAACUAUUUAUAUUUUACUUUUAAUAUGCCUUUUUAUAAUAUAAUCCCAUUACAUUUAAUUUUCAAUUGAUCUAGCUUGGAGGUGGAAUUAAUUUAUUAUCAUGAGAAAAAUAGUUAUUGUAAUAAUAUUAAAAUCUGGUCUCUUAUAAAUAAAAAAAUAUUUUAGUUAUUCUUUCUUUAUAAUUUUUUCAAAAUCUGAUUGAAAUAGAAAUCAAAUAGAAAAAUAUAAAUCCUUACAUUUCACUUAUUUUUUUUAAUUUAAUAAUUUUGUGGUCUUUUCAACACAAACCAACAAAGACAAAACAACCAAGAGUCCAAAUAGCAACAUGCAGAACAACUGCAGAAAAAAUACGGUGUGAUUCUAAUAAUAACGAAAAUGUAUAGAUACAUAG